rnacentral:misc_RNA from 1 species
GAUGAAGAACGCAGCGAAUUGCGAUACGUAAUGUGAAUUGCAGAAUUCAGUGAAUCAUCGAAUCUUUGAACGCACAUUGCACUCCUUGGUAUUCCGAGGAGUAUGCCUGUUUCAGUAUCAUGAGCACUCUCACAUCUAACCUUUGGGUUAAAAUGUGGAAUUGGGAUGCGCCGGUUAUUAUAACGGCCCUCCUAAAAUUCAGUUCUUGGCUGCUUCCUACUACAGCAGUUUGGCCUAAUAGUUUUGAGUCUUCGAUUCAAAUCUUUGGCUAACAUUUGCUUCAGGAUGUCAGUCUUGAUAUACAGAAAUCUCAUUCAAACUUUGAUCUGAAAUCAGGUAGGGCUACCCGCUGAACUUAAGCAUAUCAAUAAGCGGAGGA